UGAAUAGCUGGCUAGGGUUCCGAUCCAUGCAAUAUGGAUGUCUGGUCCGAGAGCUGGCGACCUCCAGUUGAGGUUACACGGCGGGACAAAAGCCCGGGAGAC
rnacentral:sRNA from 22 species